rnacentral:rRNA from 1 species
UUAGAGUUUGAUCCUGGCUCAGGAUGAACGCUAGCGGCAGGCUUAAUACAUGCAAGUCGAGGGGCAACAGGGGUAGCAAUACCUGCUGGCGACCGGCAAACGGGUGCGGAACACGUACAGAACCUUCCUUUAAGCGGGGAAUAGCCCGGAGAAAUCCGGAUUAAUACCCCAUAGUAAUAUUUGGUGGCAUCACUUGAAUAUUUAAAGAUUUAUCACUUAAAGAUGGCUGUGCGUCUGAUUAGGUAGUUGGUGCGGGUAACGGCCCACCAAACCAUCGAUCAGUAACUGGUGUGAGAGCACGACCAGUCACACGGGCACUGAGACACGGGCCCGACUCCUACGGGAGGCAGCAGUAAGGAAUAUUGGUCAAUGGACGCAAGUCUGAACCAGCCAUGCCGCGUGAAGGAUGAAGGCCCUCUGGGUUGUAAACUUCUUUUAUCUGGGAAGAAACCACUUUUUUAUAAAGGUGUUGACGGUACCAGAGGAAUAAGCACCGGCUAACUCCGUGCAGCAGCCGCGGUAAUACGGAGGGUGCAAGCGUUAUCCGGAUUCACUGGGUUUAAAGGGUGCGUAGGUGGGAAUGUAAGUCAGUGGUGAAAUCUCCGUGCUUAACAUGGAAACUGCCAUUGAUACUAUAUUUCUUGAAUCUUCCGGAGGUCAGCGGAAUAUGUCAUGUAGCGGUGAAAUGCUUAGAUAUGACAUAGAACACCAAUUGCGAAGGCAGCUGACUACAGGAGCACUGACACUGAGGCACGAAAGCGUGGGGAUCAAACAGGAUUAGAUACCCUGGUAGUCCACGCCCUAAACUAUGGAUACUCGACAUUUGUGAUACACAAUAAGUGU